rnacentral:sRNA from 13 species
AGUGAUUAUAUAUUUUUGUAUCGAUUUAAAGCCUACAGCUUGAUAAGAUGAUAAGAUUUUUAAAAAUCAUAACCUGGAAUACCCUAUUAGGGGUAGCCCUGCAGAAAGCUGCAUUACAGUCUGGCAACACCUAGCAAAUGUUCACACAUUCAAACAAUGUAAACAAUUAGUUAUUUUUAAAAGGAAUUAGUAUAUAUGUAUUGGUAUAUAGUAGUAUGCUUCCAGUAAAAAGAGGACUUUAAGGAGCAGAUUUAACGCUACUUGUCGGUUAUGCAGCAGCUCAGUGCGCAUCCUGCUCAAUCCCAGCCACCCAUUAAUCAUUCCAUUUGGCGGAUCGGGAGGAGGAGCAGGCAGGAAGAGGACCAGAAACAGGAGCAGGAACUGGAACAGGAACAGGAAUUCACCCACAUGUGUACGCACACGCGACUAUAUGCAGUGAUAGAUGUGUGUUUGUGUGCUCCCGCUAUUUGUCGCCCUUUGUGAUAGCAAUCAAAUCGAAUCAUAUCCCGUUCCGUCUAUCGACUUCGCACACCCACACCGAAUCCCAAUCCCACACCCAUUCCCUGGCCGUUUUGCCCCGUAAUAGAAUCUCCUGCUGCAGCGUCAAGGUUGUAAAUGUAAUCAUUUGUCUGCUCCACGGACUUCGGGCCUAAUCGAAUUGCCAGGCGGCUUGUCUCCCCAAAAGUAAGCAUCCUCAUAGCCAUCUUUGGCCAGGCCUACUCACGCAGGUCCUAUUCGCUUCUGGUCGCAUUUGUUUUCGCCACACAAAAGCGGAACAAAGUGACAGACGGAGGCGAAUCAAAUCGAAUGAAAGUAUACGAUUCUAUUUGCUUGUGAUUUCUGACUCCACCUAAGGCCCAUCCUCCUCCGCCUCCUGGGCAUGUGUCAAUCACACGGUGGCUUUCAUAAUGAGGUGGAGCAGCCCGGCAGGGGGAUGUUGUGCGAAGGGACACCACCCCAAGCAUUGCUCAAUCGACUGCGACCGGAUGCCAUCCUCUCAGCAGCACACAGCCCUCAGCCCUCAGACAAAUGGGAUAAAUAUAGCUCUGAGCUGUAGUUAACUCUGAUUGCAAUGGGAUACCACUGAAUCUGGCUGGGGCUGAAUCCAAUGGCUUGUCUGAAAGUGCCCGAAAGACGUGGCCACAUUUAAGGCACCAGAUACAGUGGUUCGUAGAAUGAAAGCCUUUUCAAAUAUAAUGCAUGGGCAGAAAGAAGCAUAGAAACUGGCCAAAGAUCCAGUUCUGGAUGAGCAUGACCAUCAGCGAGACGGGCAGGACGAGGGCGCACUGGACGAAGUGGCAUAGGGCCAGAUUGAUGAUGAACGCAUGGGUCACAUCCUUGUAGAGCCGGUGGUACAUGAUGUACACCACGAUGAUCACAUUGAGCACCACGCCCAGUAGGGCGAGAGCUGCGUACUGGAUGAGGAACAGCCAGUAGACCGACUUGAUGCUGGACUUCAGGAUGGGACCACUGAGUCGCUCCAUGUCAACCGUGCCAUUGGAAUGCCAGUCGAGGAAGUGCGAGAGUGCCGUCACAUAUUUGUCGGGCACAUCCUUCAUUUUCUCGCCACCGCCGCCUGCAUCUCCUCCGGAUGCACCGCCACCAUAUCCUCCCACUCCUCCGCCGCCGCCUCCGCCUCCUCCUCCGCCUGCUGCUCCGCCGCUGCUCGCCGCCAACUGGUAGGCAUCCGAUACUCCGACCAAGCGAAGUUGCUCAGCUGGCGACAUCCUCACCACCUGCAAUGGGAAAUCAAGAAGAGAUUCUUCAAUCAAUUAGGAGCGCUAUAUUCUUGAGAUAUUUGGUAUCUACAAUAGGAAAUUCUUCAGUGAUUGCAGUCAGUAAGAUUGGAAAGCUUCGGGGAAAACAAUAGCUAAACUAAUUGAUU